ensembl:lncRNA
CACCCCAUAUAUCACCCCAUAGCGCCCCAUAGCACCCUAUAGCGCCCCAUAGCGCCCCAUAGUUCCUCAUAGCGCGCCAUAGCACCCUAUAGCACCCCACAGCACCCUAUAGCACCCCAUAUAUCACCCCAUAGCACCCUAUAGGACCCCCCAGCACCCCAUAGCGCCCCAUAACACCCCAUAGACCCUCAUAACACCCCAUAUAUCACCCCAUAGUGCCCCAUAGCACCCUAUAGCACCCCAUAGCGCCCCAUAGCUCCUCAUAACACCCCAUAUAUCACCCCAUAGCACCCUAUAGCGCCCCAUAGCGCCCCAUAGCUCCUCAUAGCACCCCAUUGCGCCCUAUAGCACCCCAUAGCACCCCAUAGUUCCCCAUAGCUCCUCAUAGCGCCCCAUAUAUCACCCCAUAGCACCCUAUAGGACCCCCCAGCACCCCAUAGCGCCCCAUAGCACCCCAUAGCCCCUCAUAACACCCCAUAUAUCACCCCAUAGUGCCCCAUAGCACCCUAUAGCUCCCCAUAGCGCCCCAUAGCUCCUCAUAGCACCUCAUAUAUCACCCCAUAGCGCCCCAUAGCACCCUAUAGGACCCCCCAGCACCCCAUAUCACCCCAUAUAUCACCCCAUAACACCCUAUAGGACCCCCCAGUACCCCAUAGUGCCCCAUAGCACCCUGUAGGACCCCUCCCAGCACCCCAUGGCGCCCCAUAGCGCCCCAUAGCACCCCAUAGCACCCCAUAUAUCACCCCUUAGCACCAUACAGGCCCCCCCAGAACCCCAUAUAUCACCCCAUAGCACCCUAUAGGACCCCUCCCAGCACCCCAUGGCGCCCCAUAGUGCCCCAUAGCGCCCCAUAACGCCCCAUAGUGCCCCAUAGCGCCCUAUAUAUCACCCCAUAACACCUUAUAGGACCCCUCCCAGCACCCCAUAGCGCCGCGUAGCGCCCCAUAGGACCCCAUAUAUCACCCCUUAGCACCCUAUAGGACCCCCCAGUACCCCACAGCGCCCCAUAGCGCCGUGUGUCUGCCCCACAGCGGAGCCCACGGACGUGCUGCGGGCGGUGGGUGCUCACGAGCGCCCCCCGGGGGUGACGGAGACCCCCGGCCUCUGCCCCAAAAGCGACAGCGCCUACAGCAUCGCCCCACACGCGCGGCUCAGCGUCCCCACCAGGCAGCUCCUGCGCGGGCCGCUGCGCUCGGGCUUUGCGCUGUCUGCGCUGCUGCGCCUGGAGCCCGGGGCCUCGCUGCCGCUUUUGUCGGUGCGCGACGGCGCCGUGGGGCGGCACUUGGGGGUCCGCGUCGGCCCCACGGCGCUGACGCUUUUCUAUGGGGCGGACGGGGACGACGACGACGACGGGGACGGGGACGGUGCGAGCCCCACGGCGCGGCACCGCGUGCGCUUCGACGACGUCCGCAUCGCUGACGGACGGUACGAGCCCGCCCCAUAGCGCCCGCCCCAUAGCGCCCGCCCCAUAGCACCCCAUAGGGACCUGUAGGGACCCAUAGCGCCCCAUAGAGGCCCAUAGAGCCCCAUGGAGACACAUAGAGACCCAUAGAGACCCAUAGCACCCCAUAGCGCCCCAUAGAGGCCCAUAGAACCCCAUGGAGACACAUAGAGACCCAUAGAGGCCCAUAGCACCCCAUAGCGCCCCAUAGCGCCCCAUAGAACCCCAUAGAGGCCCAUAGCGCCCCAUAGAACCCCAUGGAGACCCAUAGAGCCCCAUAGCACCCCAUGGAGACCCAUGGAGACCCAUAGCGCCCCAUAGANAGCCCCAUAGCACCCCAUGGAGACCCAUGGAGACCCAUAGCGCCCCAUAGACACCCAUAGAGCCCCGUAGAACCCCAUGGAGACCCAUAGAGACCCAUAGAGACCCAUAGCGCCCCAUAGCAUCCCAUAGAACCCCAUGGAGACCCAUAGAGCCCCAUGGAACCCCAUGGAGACCCAUGGAGACUCAUAGAGCCCCAUAGUGCCCCAUAGAACCCCAUAGCGCCCCAUAGCACCCCAUAGGGACCCGUAGAGCCCCAUAGAGAUCCAUAGCACCCCAUAGAGCCCCAUAGUGGCCCAUAGGGACCCAUAGGGACCCAUAGUGCCCUAUAGCACCCCAUAGAGACCCAUGGAGACCUAUAGAGCCCCAUAGAACCCCAUGGAGCCCCAUAGAGGCCCAUGGAACCCCAUGGAGACCCAUAGAGACCCAUAGAGCCCCAUAGCGCCCCAUAGAACCCCAUGGAGACUCAUAGAAACCCAUAGAGCCCCAUAGAACCCCAUAGAGAUCCAUAGCACCCCAUAGAGCCCCAUAGCACCCCAUAGGGACCCAUAGAGACCCAUAGAGAUCCAUAGCACCCCAUAGAGCCCCAUAGUGGCCCAUAGGGACCCAUAGGGACCCACAGUGCCCCAUGGAGACCCAUAGAGACCCAUAAAACCGCAUAGAGACCCAUAGACGCCCCAUA